AACGCGAAGAACCUUACCAGGUCUUGACAUCCCAUUGACCAGCAGAGUAACGUCUGCCUUCCUUCGGGACAAUGGAGACAGGUGGUGCAUGGUUGUCGUCAGCCCGUGUCGUGAGAUGUUGGGUUAAGUCCCGCAACGAGCGCAACCCUUAUCCUUAGUAGCCAGCGGUCCGGCCGGGCACUCUAGGGAGACUGCCGGGGAUAACCCGGAGGAAGGCGGGGAUGACGUCAAAUCAUCAUGCCCCUUAUGAUCUGGGCUACACACGUGCUACAAUGGCGGCCACAAAGAGAAGCGAACCCGCGAGGGGGAGCAAAUCCCAAAAAAGCCGUCCCAGUUCGGAUUGCAGUCUGCAACUCGACUGCAUGAAGCUGGAAUCGCUAGUAAUCGCGAAUCAGAAUGUCGCGGUGAAUACGUUCCCGGGUCUUGUACACACCG
rnacentral:rRNA from 1 species